AUUGAACGCUGGCGGCAGGCCUAACACAUGCAAGUCGAACGGUAACAGGAAGAAGCUUGCUUCUUUGCUGACGAGUAGCGGACGGGUGAGUAAUGUCUGGGAAACUGCCUGAUGGAGGGGGAUAACUACUGGAAACGGUAGCUAAUACCGUAUAACGUCGCAAGACCAAAAAGGGGGACCUUCGGGCCUCUUGCCAUCGGAUGUGCCCAGAUGGGAUUAGCUAGUAGGUGGGGUAACGGCUCACCUAGGCGACGAUCCCUAGCUGGUCUGAGAGGAUGACCAGCCACACUGGAACUGAGACACGGUCCAGACUCCUACGGGAGGCAGCAGUGGGGAAUAUUGCACAAUGGGCGCAAGCCUGAUGCAGCCAUGCCGCGUGUAUGAAGAAGGCCUUCGGGUUAUAAAGUACUUUCAGCGGGGAGGAAGGGAGUAAAGUUAAUACCUUUGCUCAUUGACGUUACCCGCAGAAGAAGCACCGGCUAACUCCGUG
rnacentral:rRNA from 1 species